rnacentral:snoRNA from 1 species
UGUGCCAUGAUGAAUAGUAACAUGUGAGAAGGGCUUUUUGAUUAAGAGUCACUUCAGUGAAAUGUAUUUGUUACGCUUGGCUUCUGAGCACA